CAUUCCACAAACGACUGUAUAAAAUAAAGCAGAGCACGCCAUUCGAGGCGGCCGCCAUGUUUGUCUUGUCUUGUGUUGUCUUGUGUGUUCAUUCCUUUGUUUAGGAAACACGCGGACCCCAACAGAAACAGAUCUUGUUUUGGUCAGUGGGAUAGCUAACAGAAAACAAGUGAUACCAUUCUCCCACCUCAGAAUGGCAAAAGGCAUUGAGUGUCUUUUCAUGUGAUUUUUGGAUAUGACUGUAGAUUUUUUGGAAAAUGGCUAAGUGAAUAAUUUUCCAUUUUUGAUUGGGAUAUUUGCCUUUUUAUUUUCAACUUGUAAGAUAUUGUCAUAUGUUCUGAAUAAUAAACCAUUAUUACCUGUAAAAUUUACAUAUAUUUUCUCUCAUUCCUUGGGUUUCUAAUUUUGAUGGUGUUCUUUGAAUCCCAAAAUGUUUUAAUUGUAAUGAAGUUCAGUACAUCUAUUAUUUAUUCUUUUCCUGUGUUUUCAGUGUCAUAUCUUAGAAAACAUUGUUUAACCUAAGAUUGCAAAGAUGUUUUUCUGUGUUUUGUGUAUGGUUUGGGCCUAUUUAGCUAUUAUAUUUAGAUGUAUGAUUGUUUUGAGUCAAUUAUGUUUGUGGUGUGAGGCAGGAGUCCGACUUGCCUAUGGAUAUCUACAUUUUCCAGAAACAUUUGAUAAAAAAAACUCUAUACCUAAUUUAUUUGGCCAUUUGUUAUUCCAUCAUUAAUGUAAGGAUUUAUUUUUGAGCAUUAUAUUCUAUUCUGUUGAUCAAUAUGUAAAUCCUUAUACUAGUACCAUAAAUCUUGAUUCGUAUUCUUUUGUAUUAAUAGUAAAUUUUUCUUUCUUUCUUUUUGAGACAGAGUCUUGCUCUGUCUCCCAGACUGGAGGGCAGUGGUGCAAUCUUGGCUCACUGCAACCUCCACCUCCUGUGUUCAAGCAAUUCUUGUGCAAGCAUUUCUCGUGCGUGAGCCUCCCAAGUACAUGGAAUUACAAGUAUGAGCCACCGUGACCAAUUUUUGGAUUUUUAGUACAGACAGGGUUUCAUCAUGUUAGCCAGGCUGGUCUCAAACUCCUGACCUCAAGUGCUCUGCCCACCUCAGCCUCCAAAAGUGCUCAGAUUACAGACGUGGGUCACUGUGCCGGCCUGUAUUAAUAGUAAGUUUUGAAAUCAGCAAGUGGAUGUCUACAAUGCCAACCUUUUUCCUCUUACUCAAGAUUAUUUAGGCCACUCUGGAUCUAUUGCAUUGCAUAUGAACUUUAGAAUAACCUUGUUAAUUUUGAGGAAGGAAAUAUCACCUGGGAUUUUGGUAGAGGUUGCAUUAAAUCUAUAGAUCUAUUUGGAAAAUAUUGCCAUCCUAACAGUACUAACCCUUCUAAGCAAUGAACAUUAAAAUAUUUUCUAUUUAAGUUUGUUCAAUAUGUUUUCUGUAGUUUUUGUGUACAUAUCUUACACUUAAUUUGAUAAACAUGCCUAUUUUCGAUGCCAUCUUAAGUGGAACGGUUUUCUGAGUUUUGUUUUUAGAUUGUUAAUCACUAAUGUAUAGAAAUUCAAAUGAUUUUAUAUGUUGACCCUAUAUACUGCAAGUUUGUUACUCAUGUUUAAGUUUUAAAUAUAUUUCAUUAGAGUCCUUUGGAUUUUUUUAUAUAUAAGAUUAUGUCAUUUGCAAACAGAGUUUGACUUCCCUUAUCUGUCUUAUUUGCUGCAUGUUUUUAUCAUAGUGAGUUCAGGAAUUCUCAGGUGUUUCUGCAUGUUUUGAGAUACUUAUAUGGUUUUGUUUUUUAUUAUAUUAAUAUAGUGCAUGGCAUUAAUUGUCCUUGAACAUUGUACCAAAUGUUGCUUUCCUGAGGUAAAUACCCUUGACAUAUUUUAUAAUACUUUUUACAUGUUGUUGAUUUGUUUUGCUAGGAUUUCUUUGAUGAUUUUUGGGUCUAUAUUCAUAAGGUGUGUUAUUCUUAAUUUUCAUUUUUUGCAAUCUGUUUGUCUAGUUGUGGUAUCAGGGUAAACUAACUCAUAGUAUAAAUGAAAUGCGAUGCCUUCUCCACUUUGUUGUUGUUGUUUUUAAGAAUUUAUUAUAAAUUAAUUGUUUAAGUGAUUCCAAUAACUCACUAAUGAAUUACCUUGACUGGGGCAAGGAAGUGAAUCCUAAGAAGAAUCAUGUCAGCUUGGAAGGAGACCUUUCCCCAGCUGAGCCUCAGCCUGGGCCAUCAUCUACAUCUGGACUGAAGACCCAGAGAAACUACUCCCAUCAUGCGUUCUGUGGACACUCACAUCCGGGAAUUAUAAUGCCAGUUGGCAUUCCUAAAGCUUCCACGCUAGCAGGUUUGGAGUAAUUCACCAGUGAAGUCUUCUUAACCUGGGCAAUCAUAUGAACUUGGAAGAUGAUCCGUCCCCAUCUCAUCUUUCAGUUGAAACCUCAGCCUUGGCCAUCACCUACAUCUGGAUUUCUGACUCAGAGAAACUGUGAGUAAUAGACUAAUUGCCCUGAGCACAGCCUCCAGUACGAUGUUCAAAGCAAGUGUCAAGAGUGGAAAUUCUUGUCUUGUUUCUAAUCUUGGAAAAAUUAGUAAACAUUUCAGGAGAUUCCAACGACACACUAGUCAGUUCUUCUUGAUUGGGGCAGGGAAGUGCAUCCGAAGAGCAAUCACGUGAUCUUGGAAGGAGACCCUUCUCCAGCUGAGCCUCGGUGUGGGUCACCAUCUGCAUCUGGACUGAAGACUCAGAGAAACUGUGAGUAAUAGGUAUGUGACUUUGAGCCACUAAGGUAUGUAGUAAUUUGUUAGGCACCAAGUACUAAUAAGAAAAAUUUGGGAGGCCGAGGCGGGUGGAUCACGAGGUCAGGAGAUCGAGACCAUCCUGGCUAACACGGUGAAACCCCAUCUCUACUAAAAAUACAAAAAAUUAGCCGGGCGAGGUGGCGACGCCUGU